AUAUAUGUUGAUCAAAGAAAAGCCAGAAAUGGACCUCACCUGGGCAAACUAGAGCAGUUGGGACCCCUCAGAACUUUGAAGCCAAACUAUGCAAGGCCAGUUGGGAACCUUUGUGGCGGAGGAAAGGCUGUGCAGAGGAUGGAUUGGUUUUCUGUGCUCACCUGUCUCUGGCUGGCUGAAGAGGUCCUUCAGCUGGGAGAGUCCAUGGGAUCUGCGUGGAUGUGACUUGG